rnacentral:sRNA from 1 species
AAUGAUAUGGCUAGAGGAAAUUUUACUGGAAGCUCGAUUCUUUAGUUUGAAGUUGCUGUUGUGUUUUAUGCAGCUUAAGAAGUUAUUGGCCUGUUAAGCAGCAGAUCAGCAUACCAACUAUUCUUGGACUAGUGUAAAAUAUUAGAAGCUGUCAUUUUAGUUUUUCUUUUUGAGAGAGAAAAGUGGCAUUUAGUUGAAAAAUUCUUUUUCUCUUUUUGGUAUACACCAUUCUUUUUGGUUAACCAUUUUGCUACCAGGCUUUUCAUUUUGAUUAGCCACUUCCAAAC